rnacentral:lncRNA from 1 species
CCAUCACCAACACCAUGUCCUCCCUGGUGAAGGAGCUGCACUCGGCAGAGGAAGAAGACGAAGAAGAAACAGAGAAGCUGCAGAAUGGGAAGGACCGAGGUUAGGAGGGGCCACAGGCUGGACAGCAGCUCAGGUAAGGAUGGACACACGUCCCACCUCCAGCAGCUUCUGUCACCUCCUGCCCUUGUCCUGUUUCUGCACCAGGAGGGUCCCCAGCUGCCCAUCCCUCUGCUGUGUUCCAGAGGAUGUUUUCCACAGAUUAUGGAAUGGGUUGGGUGGGAAAGGAC